rnacentral:lncRNA from 1 species
UGAGGAUCUCUCCCUGUUCCAGCAUUGACAUCACAGGAGGAGCAGACUUUCCUCAGCAGUUACUUGGCUCAAAUAACCAGUGUUCCACGCAAGGCCUCCAGUUUCUCCUGAGACACAUCUCAGAAGAGAGUGUCAAUGUUUUCAUACUUGAUUUGGCCCAGGAGGAGAUCUCCUUCCAUCUGAAGAAACAGGCAGCUGAGGAAGAAGACUCAGACACAUACUGCUGUACCAUGUGCUAUGCUACUGUGCUGUACUAUGAGUGGUACAAUGACAAGAACUGCAGAUAUAGCUGACGCUGCAGGAAUAUCGCCUGAGGGACAUAAUAACAAACACAGGUGUCUUUAGCUUCUUGAUAGAAA